CCUUCAAACCGAAACACAUUACUCCUUCACGGCAGAAAUAUGUAAGGCGGUGGUACCUAUCCGCGCGGACUCACAAGUGGUCCUACCACCAGUAAAGCAAAUUAUAAUUUUGCGGGUUUGAUUUUUAUUACACGAUGUUAUUCCUUCACCGUGGAAGUCAAUCGUGAACAUUUGUUAAGUACGUAUUUCAUUAGAGAAAUUGGUACCGGCCUGCGGGAUUCGAACACCGUUGCAUCGCUAGAUACGAAUGCACCGGACGUCUUAUCCUUUAAUUUAAGCCACGGCGACUUCCGACCUUUAUAUAAAUAAAUAAAUAUUGACAUUCCAACUAACAAUUAUAAGAAGACUUAAAGUUUAAGCUCGCUCGUCUGAAAGGUCCUUUUCUUUAAAUUUUUGCAGUAAUUUAUAAGAAAAUAUAAUAAUUGUUAAUGUGUCUUCUGUGUUUAUCUACGUCCAUGACCCGCUUUUGUAGUCGAUGACGUUUAACGGGGAAACAAGAGAUGAGCGACCACCAAAAAUAACGUGAUGUGCGUCGAGCUGUUGAUAAAAUUAAACUCGGAAUUGAAUUCGUGAUUUUAUAAGAAAGUAUAUUAAGGAGGCGAGAUCUCAAUGAAACUUAUAGGUAACUAACAUGUGUCAAAUCAAUGUUGUUUACAAAACUAAAGAACGAAGGUUCAUUUCCUUAAUCCCAACAACUACAAGUAUUUUGCUAUUAACGGUGUUUUCUUUUUUAGUAGUUUAUUUUUCCAUACAAAAUAUAUGUGGAAUAUCACACAACGUACGUAUGUCGGAUAAUAUGUAUGUGCCUAUUCAUAGAUGUCGGUUCUCAACAGUGUACAUACACACGGUUGCAACAACCGUCGGUUACGCAGCACGGACUGUUUCAUUUAAACAAUGAACAUUUCAACAACCCGCAAUACUUAAGAAAAAAGCGUUAAUAUCGAGCGGGUGAAAUGAUGAGAAACCAACAAGCUGUCACACCGGCACAAACCGGUCUCUAAAACGUAGUAGGGAUGUAGCAAACAUGUUUUGUAUUUUAUAAAGAACUGUUUAGAGAAAAACAGCGAAUUGUAAAUUAUAAAAAUAUUCACUGCCCACCACUACUUGACUUGUUGAUUAUAGAUACAGCAAAAUGAAUGCCGAUCUUAUAAUGAGACUCCAGGCGGAAGUCAAUCAUAGUGAAAAAACACUUCCCACCUACCGUCAAAAAGCGCAGAAUUUGCCAAAUCCGCCUCACUGCAUAAAUGGUUUGGCUACAUAAUAAUAUGUAUAUACAUAACAACACAACCAGUCAGUUCUUGCUUUUAAUUUUUCUGUACAAAUAUAAUUCUUCACCGAUGUGGAGUAAAAAUGUGGAUAUGGAAUAA